rnacentral:rRNA from 1 species
AAUCAACGCUGGCGGCGUGCCUCAGACAUGCAAGUCGAACGAUUAAAGCUCUCUUCGGAGAGUGCAUAGAGUGGCGCACGGGUGAGUAACACGUAAGUAAUCUACCUUUGAGUGGGGAAUACCGUCCGGAAACGGACGCUAAUACCGCAUAAUGCAGCGGCAUCGCAAGAUGACAGUUGUUAAAGAUUUAUCGCUUGAAGAGGAGCUUGCGGCAGAUUAGCUAGUUGGUAAGGUAAUGGCUUACCAAGGCUACGAUCUGUAACCGGUCUAAGAGGACGGUCGGUCACACUGACACUGAACAACGGGUCAGACUCCUACGGGAGGCAGCAGUCGGGAAUUUUGGGCAAUGGGCGAAAGCCUGACCCAGCAA